CCUACGGGAGGCAGCAGUGGGGAAUAUUGGACAAUGGGCGAAAGCCUGAUCCAGCCAUGCCGCGUGAGUGAUGAAGGCCUUAGGGUUGUAAAGCUCUUUUAUCCGGGAAGAUAAUGACUGUACCGGAAGAAUAAGCCCCGGCUAACUUCGUGCCAGCAGCCGCGGUAAUACGAAGGGGGCUAGCGUUGCUCGGAAUCACUGGGCGUAAAGGGCGCGUAGGCGGAUGAUUAAGUCGGAGGUGAAAGCCCAGGGCUCAACCCUGGAAUUGCCUUCGAUACUGAUCGUCUCGAGAAUGGAAGAGGUAAGUGGAAUACCGAGUGUAGAGGUGAAAUUCGUAGAUAUUCGGUGGAACACCAGUGGCGAAGGCGACUUACUGGUCCAUUUCUGACGCUGAGGCGCGAAAGCGUGGGGAUCAAACAGGAUUAGAUACCCUGUAGUCACGCGUAACGAUGAAUGCAGCCGUUGGGAGCUUGCUCUUCAGUGGCGCNGCUACGUACUUACGUACACUCCGUCCGUCGGAGGUACGGUCGCGAGAGUAACUACAAGAAGUAGACGCGNGAGACGNGCGACGCGACGACGAGGAGAG
rnacentral:rRNA from 1 species